UCACCAGAUAAGACAGCUGAAUGAUAGUCGGGCUGAAGACUCUACUUGACUAGCUGAGAGGAGGUGGCAUUGGGCCGUCGUCAGUUCGUACUGUUGAAGCAUCCUGUUAAGUCAGGCAACGAGCGAGACCCACGCCAACAGUUGCCAGCUCGUCCUCCGGGAUGGUGGGGACACUGUUGGGGCCGCCUCUGCUAAAGAGGAGGAAGGAAUGGGCAACGGUAGGUCAGCAUGCCCCGAAUUAUCCGGGCUACACGCGGGCUACAAUGGUCAGGACAAUGGGUAUCAACACCGAAAGGUGAAGGCAAUCUCCUAAACCUGUCCUUAGUUCGGAUUGUGGGCUGCAACUCGCCCACAUGAAGCUGGAAUCUGUAGUAAUCGCGUCUCAACAUGGCGCGGUGAAUAUGUCCCUGCUCCUU
rnacentral:rRNA from 1 species